CACCGCGGUUAUACGAGAGACCCUAGUUGACUCACACGGCGUAAAGAGUGGUUAUGGAAUCAUCAAACUAAAGCCGAAAGCCCCCCAGACUGUCAUACGCACCCGGGGGCCAGAACUCCACUAUACGAAAGUAGCUUUACUAACGCCUACCAGAACCCACGAUAGCUGGGGCA
rnacentral:rRNA from 2 species